rnacentral:tRNA from 1 species
AGAUCUAUCGUUCAACGGAUAGGACUUAAACCUUCUAAGUUUAAAAUGUAGGUUCGAUUCCUACUAGAUCUA